GCCGGGCUGGCUCAGUUGGUAGAGCAAGUAGCUCUUGAUCUCUUGAUCGUGAGUUUAAGCCCCAUGUUGGGCA
rnacentral:tRNA from 1 species